CUUUAAACAUCAAGUACUUAAUCUUGAUUUUGUUCCAAUUUUUCUUUCAUAUAGUCCCUAUUUAUUCAUUUUUCUCCGAUUGCUCCCGUAGAAAUUUGUAUGGAAAAAGGCAAUAAAUUAGAGUCACUGUUGCGCUUCGAUUUGAGUAGCGACUUCAGCGCUGUACGUUGCCGAUAAGAAUUUUUUGGGGCUGAGAUUCUGGCAUUUUCAAUUUUUUUCCUUUGAUUUUUAUGCAUUCAGAUGCCCCUACAUGUUUUCAGUUAUAUGAUUUUUUUUA